rnacentral:tRNA from 1 species
ACCCCCUUAGUAUAAUAUGUACAAACGAUUUCCAAUCAUUAAGUCUCACAAACCAGGGUGAGAGGGGGUA